rnacentral:rRNA from 1 species
AGGAUGAACGCUAGCUACAGGCUUAACACAUGCAAGUCGAGGGGCAUCAGGAAGAAAGCUUGCUUUCUUUGCUGGCGACCGGCGCACGGGUGAGUAACACGUAUCCAACCUGCCCUUUACUCGGGGAUAGCCUUUCGAAAGAAAGAUUAAUACCCGAUAGUAUAAUGAUUCCGCAUGGUUUCAUUAUUAAAGGAUUCCGGUAAAGGAUGGGGAUGCGUUCCAUUAGGUUGUUGGUGAGGUAACGGCCCACCAAGCCUUCGAUGGAUAGGGGUUCUGAGAGGAAGGUCCCCCACAUUGGAACUGAGACACGGUCCAAACUCCUACGGGAGGCAGCAGUGAGGAAUAUUGGUCAAUGGGCGCUAGCCUGAACCAGCCAAGUAGCGUGAAGGAUGAAGGCUCUAUGGGUCGUAAACUUCUUUUAUAUAAGAAUAAAGUGCAGUAUGUAUACUGUUUUGUAUGUAUUAUAUGAAUAAGGAUCGGCUAACUCCGUGCCAGCAGCCGCGGUAAUACGGAGGAUCCGAGCGUUAUCCGGAUUUAUUGGGUUUAAAGGGAGCGUAGGUGGACUGGUAAGUCAGUUGUGAAAGUUUGCGGCUCAACCGUAAAAUUGCAGUUGAUACUGUCAGUCUUGAGUACAGUAGAGGUGGGCGGAAUUCGUGGUGUAGCGGUGAAAUGCUUAGAUAUCACGAAGAACUCCGAUUGCGAAGGCAGCUCACUGGACUGCAACUGACACUGAUGCUCGAAAGUGUGGGUAUCAAACAGGAUUAGAUACCCUGGUAGUCCACACAGUAAACGAUGAAUACUCGCUGUUUGCGAUAUACAGUAAGCGGCCAAGCGAAAGCAUUAAGUAUUCCACCUGGGGAGUACGCCGGCAACGGUGAAACUCAAAGGAAUUGACGGGGGCCCGCACAAGCGGAGGAACAUGUGGUUUAAUUCGAUGAUACGCGAGGAACCUUACCCGGGCUUAAAUUGCAGUGGAAUGAUGUGGAAACAUGUCAGUGAGCAAUCACCGCUGUGAAGGUGCUGCAUGGUUGUCGUCAGCUCGUGCCGUGAGGUGUCGGCUUAAGUGCCAUAACGAGCGCAACCCUUAUCUUUAGUUACUAACAGGUUAUGCUGGGGACUCUAGAGAGACUGCCGUCGUAAGAUGUGAGGAAGGUGGGGAUGACGUCAAAUCAGCACGGCCCUUACGUCCGGGGCUACACACGUGUUACAAUGGGGGGUACAGAAGGCAGCUAGCGGGUGACCGUAUGCUAAUCCCAAAAGCCUCUCUCAGUUCGGAUCGAAGUCUGCAACCCGACUUCGUGAAGCUGGAUUCGCUAGUAAUCGCGCAUCAGCCACGGCGCGGUGAAUACGUUCCCGGGCCUUGUACACACCGCCCGUCAAGCCAUGGGAGCCGGGGGUACCUGAAGUACGUAACCGCAAGGAUCGUCCUAGGGUAAAACUG